AUUGUGUUAACGUUGGACAAAACGGGACAGCAGGAGCGAUGGGGGAUAGUUAAAAAGAGCGGGAAAGGACAGAGAGAAAAGAAACAUUACAUUGUAUACUAUGGGUUGAUAUUAUUAAAAGAAACGAACAAACCAGUUUAUAUUUGGCGACGAAGAUUAAAAAAAAUCACUUAUCCCGACACUGACUACGUCACAAUCAGAUAUAUACAACUACAAAGCACCAAAAGCUGAAAUACCGACCACUAUGGCGGCCAUGACGAGCAUAUCAACACUAUAUUUUGACCCUGAUCUUCAUCCAGACGACACUUUACGUGCUUUUGACGAAUUUAUCCAGAGCUUCGAGCUCCGAUAUGAUGCACAAUAUCCUGAUCGUCCUAAAACAUCUCUAGAUGCGGCUAUUGAACGAUGGAAACUCGCAAACGACGAUAAAAAGCCAA